GUCAGGAUAGCCGAGUGGUCUAAGGCGCCAGACUCAAGUUCUGGUCCUCCUGAGAGGGCGUGGGUAAAGGGCGUGGGUUCAAAUCCCACUUCUAACA
rnacentral:tRNA from 1 species